rnacentral:rRNA from 1 species
AUUGAACGCUGGCGGCAUGCCUAACACAUGCAAGUCGAACGAAGGCUUCGGCCUUAGUGGCGCACGGGUGCGUAACGCGUGGGAAUCUGCCCUUGGGUUCGGAAUAACAGUUAGAAAUGACUGCUAAUACCGGAUGAUGACGUAAGUCCAAAGAUUUAUCGCCCAAGGAUGAGCCCGCGUAGGAUUAGCUAGUUGGUGGGGUAAAAGCCCACCAAGGCGACGAUCCUUAGCUGGUCUGAGAGGAUGAUCAGCCACACUGGGACUGAGACACGGCCCAGACUCCUACGGGAGGCAGCAGUGGGGAAUAUUGGACAAUGGGCGAAAGCCUGAUCCAGCAAUGCCGCGUGAGUGAUGAAGGCCUUAGGGUUGUAAAGCUCUUUUACCCGGGAUGAUAAUGACAGUACCGGGAGAAUAAGCUCCGGCUAACUUCGUGCCAGCCGCCGCGGUAA